rnacentral:rRNA from 1 species
CACCGUCGUACGGGUGCGUAACGCGUAUGCAACCUACCUAUCACUGGGGGAUAGCCCGGGGAAACCCGGAUUAAUACCGCAUAACACAGGGGUCCCGCAUGGGUACUAUUUGUUAAAGAUUUAUCGGUGGUAGAUGGGCAUGCGUUCGAUUAGCUAGUUGGCGGGGUAACGGCCCACCAAGGCGACGAUCGAUAGGGGAGCUGAGAGGUUGAUCCCCCACACGGGCACUGAGAUACGGGCCCGACUCCUACGGGAGGCAGCAGUAGGGAAUAUUGGGCAAUGGAUGCAAGUCUGACCCAGCCAUGCCGCGUGCCGGAUGAAGGCCCUCUGGGUUGUAAACGGCUUUUAUCUGGGAAGAAGAUCGGGGAUGCGUCCCCGUGUGACGGUACCAGAGGAAUAAGCACCGGCUAACUCCGUGCCAGCAGCCGCGGUAAUACGGAGGGUGCGAGCGUUGUCCGGAUUUAUUGGGUUUAAAGGGUGCGUAGGUGGCUUGUUAAGUCAGUGGUGAAAUGCGGUCGCUCAACGAUCGA